GUGAGGAAUAUUGCGCAAUGGAGGCAACUCUGACGCAGCCAUGCCGCGUGCAGGAAGAAGGCGCUACGCGUUGUAAACUGCUUUUAACCGGGAAGAAACCCCAGGACGUGUCCUGGGUUGACGGUACCGGAGGAAUAAGCACCGGCUAACUUCGUGCCAGCAGCCGCGGUAAUACGAAGGGUGCAAGCGUUAUCCGGCUUCAUUGGUUUUAAAGGGUGCGUAGGCGGAGCGUUAAGUCAGUGGUGAAAUCCUGCAGCUUAACUGUAGACUUGCCAUUGAUACUGGCGCUCUUGAGUGCGCUUGAAGUGGGCGGAAUGUGCCGUGUAGCGGUGAAAUGCUUAGAUAUGGCACAGAACACCAAUUGCGAAGGCAGCUCACUAAGGCGAUACUGACGCUGAGGCACGAAAGCGUGGGGAUCGAACAGGAUUAGAAACCCCGGUAGUCC
rnacentral:rRNA from 1 species